rnacentral:rRNA from 1 species
CCUCGGGUGGCAGCAGUGAGGAAUAUUGGUCAAUGGGCGGAAGCCUGAACCAGCCAAGUAGCGUGCAGGAUGACGGCCCUACGGGUUGUAAACUGCUUUUAUACGGGAAUAACGCGCCUUACGUGUAGGGCUUUGCAUGUACCGUAUGAAUAAGGACCGGCUAAUUCCGUGCCAGCAGCCGCGGUAAUACGGAAGGUCCGGGCGUUAUCCGGAUUUAUUGGGUUUAAAGGGUGCGUAGGCGGGAUGCCAAGUCAGCGGUAAAAAUGCGGUGCUCAACGCCGUCGAGCCGUUGAAACUGGCGUUCUUGAGUGGGCGAGAAGUAUGCGGAAUGCGUGGUGUAGCGGUGAAAUGCAUAGAUAUCACGCAGAACUCCGAUUGCGAAGGCAGCAUACCGGCGCCCUACUGACGCUGAGGCACGAAAGCGUGGGUAUCGAACAGGAUUAGAUACCCUUGUAGUC